GGUAAAAUGCCUGAUUCAAAAGGGUUAUCGUGAUAGGAUAAAUAAUGUAACUUAUUACUUUUACUA
rnacentral:tRNA from 1 species